GAUGAACGCUGACAGAAUGCUUAACACAUGCAAGUCAACUUGAACUUCGGUUUGGGUGGCGGACGGGUGAGUAACGCGUAAAGAACUUGCCUCACAGAUAGGGACAACAUUUGGAAACGAAUGCUAAUACCUGAUAUUAUGAUUUUAGGGCAUCCUAGGAUUAUGAAAGCUAUAUGCGCUGUGAGAGAGCUUUGCGUCCCAUUAGCUAGUUGGAGAGGUAACGGCUCACCAAGGCGAUGAUGGGUAGCCGGCCUGAGAGGGUGAUCGGCCACAAGGGGACUGAGACACGGCCCUUACUCCUACGGGAGGCAGCAGUGGGGAAUAUUGGACAAUGGACCAAGAGUCUGAUCCAGCAAUUCUGUGUGCACGAUGAAGUUUUUCGGAAUGUAAAGUGCUUUCAGUUGGGAAGAAAAAAAUGACGGUACCAACAGAAGAAGUGACGGCUAAAUACGUGCCAGCAGCCGCGGUAAUACGUAUGUCACAAGCGUUAUCCGGAUUUAUUGGGCGUAAAGCGCGUCUAGGUGGUUAUGUAAGUCUGAUGUGAAAAUGCAGGGCUCAACUCCGUAUUGCGUUGGAAACUGUGUAACUAGGGUACUGGAGAGGUAAGCGGAACUACAAGUGUAGAGGUGAAAUUCGUAGAUAUUUGUAGGAAUGCCGAUGGGGAAGCCAGCUUACUGGACAGAUACUGACGCUGAAGCGCGAAAGCGUGGGUAGCAAACAGG
rnacentral:rRNA from 1 species